GAUGAACGCUAGCGGCAGGCUUAACACAUGCAAGUCGAGGGGUAUAUAGGAGCUUGCUUUUAUAGAGACCGGCAAACGGGUGCGGAACACGUACGCAAUCUGCCCUUAUCUUGGGGAUAGCCCAUAGAAAUGUGGAUUAAUACCCAAUAGUAUAUUUGGAUGGCAUCAUUUAAAUAUUAAAGAACUUCGGAUAAGGAUGAGCGUGCGUAAGAUUAGCUAGAUGGUGAGGUAACGGCUCACCAUGGCAACGAUCUUUAGCUGAUGUGAGAGCAUGAUCAGCCACACGGGCACUGAGACACGGGCCCGACUCCUACGGGAGGCAGCAGUGAGGAAUACUGGUCAAUGGACGGAAGUCUGAACCAGCCAUGCCGCGUGAAGGAUGAGGGCGCUCUGCGUUGUAAACUUCUUUUAUCAGGGAAGAAACCACAGAUUUCUAUUUGUGUUGACGGUACCUGAGGAGUAAGCACCGGCUAACUCCGUGCCAGCCGCCGCUGUAACAC
rnacentral:rRNA from 1 species